UACGGAGGGUGCGAGCGUUGUCCGGAAUCACUGGGCGUAAAGGGCGCGUAGGCGGCGCGGAUAGUCGGCGGUGAAAGCCCGGAGCUCAACUCCGGGUCGGCCGUCGAUACUUCCGGGCUUGAGCACUGUAGAGGCAGAUGGAAUUCCGGGUGUAGCGGUGGAAUGCGUAGAGAUCCGGAAGAACACCGGUGGGCGAAGGCGGUCUCUGGGGCAGU
rnacentral:rRNA from 1 species